CAUUAUAUAAAUGUACUGUUGUAAUCUAAUUUGUUUUUUUUUUCCUUUUAGCAUGGCAAGGGAAAAUCCGAAUGUCAAAGUGUAAGGGGAAGCGAGCAUGUUUCAAGAUACCUGGGAUUACAGAGCUAGAAGAGACCAACAUCUAUCUUUCAACUUCUUUCUUGUGUCAUUGGAUUACCUACCAGAUCCCUGUGGAUAAAUUUUUGCUAUCCAAAGCCCUGAUCAGAGAAGAAGAUGUGCAUUAUGAUUCCUCAGCUCCUGAUGACUCAAGCAAUGGCUGCUUGCCGCCCAAAUCAUGCACGAAUGUACAUGCCCUGCUAAACUUAUUGGUAGGAUCUUCUCCCCAGCUGUGUGGAUGUUUGGAGCGGAUUUUUUAAUGUGAAUCCCUGUAAAAUAUCCGGACUACAGAGAGCCAUGGCCACCACAAACCCUCUGGAGAACCUCCAGGUGGAAGCCAGCUGCUCCGUCUGCCUGGAGUACCUGAAGGACCCUGUGAUCAUUGACUGUGGUCACAACUUCUGCCGGGUAUGCAUCACCCGUUGGUGGGAGGACUUGAACCGGGACUUCCCCUGCCCCGUUUGCCGCAAGACUUUCCGCCACCGCACUCUGAAGCCGAACCGGCAGCUGGGCAACAUGGUAGAGAUAGCCAAACAGCUGCAGGUCACAAACAAGCGCAAGGUGCGGGACGAGAACUUGUGUGAGAAGCACAACGAGGUGCUCCGCCUCUUCUGCAAGGAGGACCAGGAGGCUGUUUGCUUAGUGUGCGAGAUCUCCCACGAACACCGCUCCCACACGGUUGUGUCCCUGGAUGACGCCUCCCAGGAAUACAAGGAAAAGAUGCAGAAGUGCCUGGAGCCCCUGGAACGGAAGCUGCAGGAGAUCGCCCACUGCAAAUCCCAGGAGGAGAAGAAGCCUGGGGAGCUCAAGCGGAAAGUGGAGGACCGCCGCCAGCUCAUCAUCAGUGAGUUUGAGGAGCUGCAUCUCUUCCUGGCGGAGGAGCAGGAAGUGCUUAUGCGGCGCCUGGAGAAUGAGGAGAAGGAGAUCCUGCAGAAGCUAAAGGAUAACGUGGCCGAGCUGUCCGAGCAACGGGUCGCCCUCAACAGCCUCACCAUUGAGAUUGAAGAGAAGUGCCUGCAGUCAGGCAUGGAGAUGCUCAAGGAUGUGAAGAACACUCUUGAAAGAUGUGAAAAGCUACAGGCCCAGGAACCGAGUUUGGUCUCUAUUGAGCUGGAAAAGAAUUUCUGCAACUUUCCCAGGCAGUACUAUGUCCUGCGUAAAAUCAUUAAGAGGCUAACGGGGGAUUUGACCCUUGACCCCGAGACGGCGCACCCCAACCUCGUGCUCUCCGAGGACCGCAAGAGUGUCAAGUUUGUGGAGCAGCGCUUGCGAGACCUGUCCGACAGCCCGAGGCGUUUCACCAUCUACCCUUGUGUUUUGGCCACGGAAGGCUUCACUUCGGGCCGCCACUACUGGGAGGUGGAAGUGGGCGAGAAGACCCACUGGGCCCUGGGGGUUUGCAAUGACUCCGUCAGCCGUAAGGGAGAGACGACCUCCCUGCCCGAGACUGGCUAUUGGCGGGUGAGGCUGUUUAACGGGGACAAGUACGCGGCCACCACCACCCCCUUCACCCCGCUCACCGUGGCCACCAAGCCCAAGCGAGUGGGCGUCUUCCUGGACUACGAGGCCGGCAAGCUUUCCUUCUACAAUGUGACGGACCGCUCCCACAUCUACACUUUUACCGACACUUUCACUGAGAAGCUUUGGCCUUUUUUCUACCCAGGGAUCCGUGCUGGCCGCAAGAAUGCUGCCCCCCUUAUCCUCCGGCCUCCCACGGACUGGGAGUGACAGAACGACCAAGUCCCCCCCCCCCCACUAGGAUUAGCCCUCAAAUGCGUAGGGGGAGUUUUAAUAUCCUAGCUUCUCAAGGCAGGGGAGGGGGAAGAAGCUGGGAACAGUAACCUGGGGUCCAAGCACACCAUCGUCCCCAGCCAGGAAACCAACACGUCCCCAGGAGGAAGAGGGCAGAGGCUUUCAGCUGACACCAAGGCCGAACACAGAAGUGUUCCGUUGGCAGGCUUCAUGUUUUUAUUCAAGGCGUGUCACCCUUGGGCAGGAAAGGAGAAGUCCUCGUGGCAGCGCAGAAGGAGCGGGCCAGGCUUGUGAGGAAGGGCGAAGACGUUUCCUUCUGCAAUCCCAAACCUCUGAUGUGGGGCGGGACUGGGGGGGUCGAGCUGAGGCGACGGCAGUUCAACCUAGAUUGGUUGUUUGGCCAAAAGCAUGAGCGUUUGCGUGAGCUGUGGGGCAGAGCCGGUCAGAAGCGUGUGUGAGGGGGGUCAGCUCUGUGCGCUGUUGAACAUGCUCUGUGGGCAGUAGCGGCCUCUGUGUGAAGAGGUUAGAGUGGAUCCUUCAUUCUUGCAUGCACAAAUCAUGAAAAACCCUCUGUCCUCUUCCCUACAACUUGUUUUUGCUGCCUGCUAGGUGAUACGCAGACUACAACCUCGUGCCAGCGUAGUCGAGUGUUGUAGUGCAUGAGCAAGAGCAAUUAAAGGAGGCCAGGCACAGAUUUUCUCCUCCGAGGCAACCCCCACUGCUCAUCCAGGGGAGGCUGCUUCUGUGAGCUGAGAAGCCCUCGUCACUGACUGGAGGUUGCGAUACCAACUGGCAGGUCUGGCUGGGCUACCAAGAUGAGAAAACUCUGAAACGGGAAGAGUGGUCUGAUUGUGCCCUGAGACAAUCUGGCGGGGAGGCCUGAAAGCAUCCAUGAUUGUCUCUUAAGGGCCGAUGCACACUACCUCCCGGGUCAUUACGGGCAGGCUGCUAUUUUUCGCUUUUGCCCAUGAUCAUUGCCUGCGUGUGUGAAGUCACCCGAACCCAGACCUACAUCACAGUAGCCUGUGAUUGUCAGUUGAACAGUUUGUAUUGUGACCUCUUUGCCCCGGGGGGUGGGGGGGCGCAGUGAGACAAAUGCCUCGUGACAUUUCAUAAAAAGGGGUGGGGAGCCAUGCAGGGAAGUCAAAUGCGUUGGCCUUGAGUGGAGUUUGAAUGUCUUCCAGUAGUUCCCUUCCAUCAAGGCAAAGCCCUUUUCCUGACCUCUUUAUUCAGAAGCUCAGCUCUGUAGGGUGUUGGCAAGUGGAGAGGAGCCCAAAUGUAGGUGAUAAGAUGCUUUUCCUGUAAAAAUCCCUCCCCCCCCCCAAAAAAAGCCCCUCAAAGACACACUCCCCCUUUCACAAUUGUUGAGGAAGGCUGGUUUAGGGAGAGACAGCAAAAUGGGCGAAAUACGUUUGCCCAUUUGGAGUGUGGGCAAAUGGGAUUGGCAACAUAAUGUUACGACAUCAUCCCACUAUCCACGUGAUCCUUCGGAGGAAACGCAUUUGUGUUUUGUUUUGUGUUUUGGUUUUUUGAAGGGGAAAAUGGAGCUGAGGCCCCAGAUCAAUAAAAGAAGCAGCUGUGAGUGUAUGGCCCAAAAACGGUAACUGAAGGGGUGUGUGCGUAACUGGGUUGAGACUACAUGUUGUGGCUUAUUUAAGCCAUGCCGAACAGCAGUUCCCACAAGCAAUAUUCAAGCCCCAACCGUGGGUUGAGUUGUGUGAACCCAGCAGGUGGGGGGUAUAUAGCCCUGGAACUUGUUUAGCCUUGCAUAAGGCCAGGUUCAAAGGACAUGACAACCCAGGAUCAGGGAUUGAAUAUUCAGGAUGGCACCCACUGGGUUGUGCGAACAACCCCCAUGUGUUGUGUAUGUAAUUUGAUCUUUUUUUUUUUUGCCUUGGUUUACCAGACUCCUUUAAUUAAAAUGCCAGUUCGGGUACAAAGAUCUGCCCUACAGUUCGUUUGGGUUUUUUUAUUGUGCUUUACAAAACACAAUAUCAUACCACCCUCUCCUUCCACCUUUAGAUCGAGUUAGAAGGUACAUAAAUACAGAAUCCCUCAGGAAACAUAUUCAUAUUUUGAAAACAAACAAUAUCAAAUUGUUUACAACCACCAUAAUGAUUUAUAAUGUACAGGUACCGUCCGGCCAUGUUCUGCCAUAUUAGUAUAUUCAGUAAACAGUAACCAAACAGCCACAUACUUUCAUUGACUUCUCAUGACCUGUAAUUUAUAUGACCAUUUUUCCAUUAUUGCGGUCUUCCAUGUCAAUGUAUACCACUCAUUCAAGUCUAAAUUUGAAAUCCUUCCAACACAAUUCUACUACUGUCCUGGCAUCAAACAAAAGAUGUGAGAUUAGCUCCUUAAGCUGCAAAUUCAUAUUUACUUCGACAAAUAAGUUCAAUACGCAUAGUUCCAAAUCCAUAUGUACUUCAAUUUUUAUGAUCUGGGUAAUCUCAGAAAACUGCAGUCCUGAAUUUUUGAGUCUCGGCACAUUCCCACCACAUGCUGGUACAUGUCAACCACUUGGUAUCCCCGCCAGCACAUACGAUACUAAUCCUGUAAUAAUUUCAGAGACGUUUCUCUUGUGUUAGCAGAUACAGAUUUAAAUGGUGGUCCCACCCACAUGUUAGUCCAAACUGUCGCCAAUAGAGGUGCCUUCAUUCGCCUCCCACCAGCAUUUAGGACUAUCGAAAGACUGCAGUCGAUAUCCCAGGAACCAUGUAAUACCAGAGUUAGCUACUUGUUUGAUUUCGAGUGAGGAAAGAGUGAUAUUUCGGAAAAAAACAGUUUAUCCCUCCAUCCUUUAAAACCACCUUUGUCUGCAUCUUUCAGAAAGACUGGAUAAAAGCAAAGGGUCAACAAUGGUGAGGCCCCUGCGUGAAGAACUGCAGACCUCCUAACCCAUAUAUUAAUCAUGGAAUAUGUGAACCUAUUCGAAAUCCUAAGUUUAUGCUUCAUAAAUGGAGUAACUGUCAAGGGAACUCCAUCUACUUUAUCCAAUGGGCAGAAAAAUCCCUGCUCAGGACCCUUUCAAUCCCUCUAGAGCAGCCUUCUCUAACCUGGAUGUGCUGGGGAUGAUUGGAGCUGUAAUCAAAAACAUCUAGAGGGCAACAGGUUGGGGUUUGUUGCUCUAGGGAUUUCAAUUUCCAGCUUGUCCUCAGAUUAGUUAUUGGCUUAACAAACUCUUCCCAGCAUUGUCCUUGUGGCCCUCAUUUGAGUUCUUUUGACUGACCGGGAAAGGAGAAUUAGUCAGGCCUAUUAGGUGGCCUUCCAAUGGUAAUGUCUGCUAUUGCACGAUUGCUUUGUGUAAAUGUGUGUAUGUUUGUUUGUGUGUCUGUGUGUAUGUGUGUCUAUACCAUUGAAGGUGCUCUGGUUUGGGUACUUUGAGCCCUUGAAUAUGGGCUGGCUGUCAGUCCUUUGGCAACCCACAGCUUUAGUGCAAGAUACUUGUGUUAUGGCUUGUUAAGUUAAUUAAUAAAAUCUCCUGUUUUAAUUGACAA